rnacentral:rRNA from 1 species
GACGAACGCUGGCGGCGUGCUUAACACAUGCAAGUCGAACGAAGUGGCGAACGGGUGAGUAAUACGUGAGUAACCUGCCCUCCUUUUUGGGAUAAGCCUUGGAAACGGGGUCUAAUACCGAAUAAAGGGGGAUGGGCUCGCGGCCUAUCAGCUUGUUGGUGGGGUGAUGGCCUACCAAGGCGGUGACGGGUAGCCGGCCUGAGAGGGUGAACGGCCACAUUGGGACUGAGAUACGGCCCAGACUCCUAAGGGAGGCAGGGGUGGGGGUUAUCGCACAAUGGGGUGAAGAAGAACGGAGCGAUGCCGCGUGGGGGAUGAAGGGCUUAGGGUUGUAAAACUCUGUCGCUAGCGAACGGGUAGGAGGAGAGGAAGCCCAAGCUAGCUACGAGCCAGCAGCCGCGGUAAUAC